UACGUAGGGGGCAAGCGUUGUCCGGAUUUAUUGGGCGUAAAGAGCGUGUAGGCGGCUUUACAGGUCCGUUGUGAAAACUCGAGGCUCAACCUCGAGACGCCGGUGGAAACCACCUGGCUAGAGUCCGGAAGAGGAGAGUGGAAUUCCUGGUGUAGCGGUGAAAUGCGCAGAUAUCAGGAAGAACACCCGUGGCGAAGGCGGCUCUCUGGGACGGUACUGACGCUGAGACGCGAAAGCGUGGGGAGCGAACAGG
rnacentral:rRNA from 1 species